CCAACUCAGACAUUUACUGAUAUCUUAUCCUAAAAGGCAUCCUUGUCAUGGGAUUAUGGAGAUGUUCAUGGCCAUUCAAAAGAAGCAGCGCCAGCACACCUCCUUCCAACUUCCCCAAUGGAUGCUCUCUUCGUCAAUUCCUCUCUCUCCCGACUCAAACUCAAAUUCUCUCCUCAAUUCUCCACCUUCUCUCCUACACCCCAUCAGCCUUUUCUCCCACUUAAAAAACGGAAUAAUAAUAAUUUACCGCUUCUAUUUGCCACGCUUCAGAACCAGCAGCAACGAGCAGCAGCAGCAGAAGGAGGAGGAGAAGAGUUUGAAGAUUACGAUGCGGAAGAAACGUACGGAGAAGUUAACAAAAUCAUUGGGAGUCGAGCAAUUGAAGGUGGGAAAGGAAUGGAGUACUUGAUAGAGUGGAAAGACGAACAUGCCCCUACCUGGGUUCCCUCUGAUUUCAUCGCUAAAGAUGUUGUUGCUGAGUACGAAACCCCUUGGUGGAACGCCGCGAAAAAGCCAGACGAAUCCGCUCUUCGGGAACUUAUCGAAGCUGAGGACGACAGAGAUGUGGACGCUGUUGAUGACGACGGACGAACGGCUUUGCUCUUUGUCUCGGGACUCGGGUCGGAGUCCUGCGUCAAGCUGCUCGCUGAAGCCGGCGCCGACGUCAAUUACCGCGAUAGGAACGGCGGAUUGACGGCUCUACAUAUGGCUGCCGGCUAUGUCAAGCCUGGGGUCGCCAAGCUGCUAAUUGAGCUCGGCGCAGACCCCGAGGUGCAGGAUUACAGAGGGCAAACGCCGCUGAGCUUGGCUAGGAUGAUCUUGAAUCAAACACCUAAAGGAAACCCAAUGCAGUUCGCGAGGAGAUUGGGAUUAGAGAAUGUGAUUAGGGUGUUGGAGGAUGCAAUUUUCGAGUAUGCACAAGUGGAGGAGAUACUGGAGAAGAGAGGGAAAGGUGAAAAUGUAGAGUAUUUAGUGAAAUGGAAGGAUGGGGAGGAUAAUGAAUGGGUUAAAGCAUGGCUGAUAUCUGAGGAUUUGGUGAGAGAUUUUGAGGCUGGAUUGGAAUAUGCAGAGGCAGAGUGCAUCCUGGAGAAGAGAGAGGGCGAGGACAGGAAAGGCGAAUACUUGGUUAAAUGGACUGAUAUUGAGGAGGCUACAUGGGAACCCGAAGAAAAUGUUGAUCCCCUUCUGAUAGAAGAUUUUGAAAAGGGUCAACAGAAAAUUAAAAACCCUCUGAAGGUCCAUGAAGAUUCUAGGAGAUAGCAUCAAGUUAAAAGGUGAUGGUAGUUGUGAGUUACUUUUGCAAAUGUGGCACCAAGGUUUCAUCCUUUUGUGAAGUUGUGUUGGUGUUAGAAUCCUGACUUCUGAGUAUGCAGUCUGAAGAAGCAAUUUCAGGUUGUAUGGAUGAUGUUUUCUGUUGUUUCCUAUUGACAUCAAAUCCAUGGGAGGCACUGAAAUUGUGAAAAUCGUGACAUCUCAUUUCUGAUCUCUCAAGACUCAGCUAAUUAUAUUAGGAUUUCCCGUUCCUCUUUUCAGUGUUAUCUGUUUCAAUGAUGAAAAUUGUUAUUUACUUGAUCAGUGUUUAAGUUGUUGAUACUUUUCACUAUGCCGGACUUCUAGUCUCUUCUGGCCUUCUGGGGUCUUUUAGUAUUUAGGUUAUAAGAUGUUACCUUUAAUACCUGAUUGAACAAUUUAUCUA